CAGAUUAGGUGGAGUGGUACACUCUUCAGACUACCUGGUAUUUUUAAAUUUAGGAAGAUUAUUUCACAGUGAGAAAAAGGCUGAGAUAAUCCUGGAGCCUGGAUCCAGGAAAUCUCUUGAAACAUGCCCACUCAGGAAGCCAGUCUUCGUUUCUCCACGCGUGGAUUGUUCACUCCAUCUUUAUCCAGUGGUGACUAUUGUCUUCCUCUACACUUUGUUACUCUGACAGCUUAGAAUAAUUCUGUUAUCAGCCUAGACUAUGCACAGGAAAGGCAAUUCACUUUCUGCUGCAGAUAGAUCCCCAAAAACUUGUGUAUAACAUAUGCAAAUCUGGAAACAAAAUCAAAUUUGGAGUAAAUUCUUUUUAGAAGAAAAGAGUAAGAGCUCCUGAAGGGAUGGUCAUUGCUUCCCCUAUCAAGGGAAAGGUUACAAUUUUGUAUGUUGGACUAUGACUGGCUAAAUGAACUGAAGGAGAAUCCCUCAUCCAGGCAAGAGUGAGCUGCAGAGAGUAGGGGUGCUGAUGCCAGGCUGGUGUGGUAGCAAAGGGAAAUGAAACAGAAAAGGGAAAAAUAGGAGGAGCUACGAUAGCUGCUGAAUGCUUCAUAACAGGUAUGAUUUAAGCUGGUCUUCAAGUAUAGAUAUUAUCUGAGUAAGCCGAAAAGGCAACAUUGAAAGUGAGCAUGGCGUAUACCCAGAACAAUAGUAAGUAGCAUAGCAUAAUAAAGAACAGAGUUUGAAUUAGGUUUGAGUCAGGUUCAAGAGCUACUAUUACCUAGAGUUAGGAGGUCCCCCCAAAAUGUUAUUGUAUCACACAUAUGAAAUCAGCACUUUGACCACAGAAAAGGGUUUAAAAAGACAAGAGAAAUGGGGGACUCUACACGACGUAGUGAUUUAUUUAGAUGCAGAAGCUAAUUAAUCAUCCCAAGUCGAGGAUGAAUGUGCUUUGAGUGUGGGUGGCUGGAAGACGUAGAUUUCAAAAUCCCUCCCAGAGGGACUCUUAAUGUUUGUUAAGUGGAAUC